ACGGGUGAGUAAUGUCUGGGAAACUGCCUGAUGGAGGAGGAUAACUACUGGAAACGGUAGCUAAUACCGCAUAACGUCGCAAGACCAAAGAGGGGGACCUUCGGGCCUCUUGCCAUCAGAUGUGCCCAGAUGGGAUUAGCUAGUAGGUGGGGUAACGGCUCACCUAGGCGACGAUCCCUAGCUGGUCUGAGAGGAUGACCAGCCACACUGGAACUGAGACACGGUCCAGACUCCUACGGGAGGCAGCAUG
rnacentral:rRNA from 1 species